CGCCCGUAGCUCAGUUGGAUAGAGUGUCGGCCUCCGAAGCCGAAGCUUGAGCGUGUACGUUUUUCCGUGAGCCUUAAGAAAGCAAUUCGCUUUCAAUGGGUUACCA
rnacentral:tRNA from 1 species